UACGUAGGGUGCGAGCGUUAAUCGGAAUUACUGGGCGUAAAGCGCGCGUAGGCGGUUUUGUAAGUCGGGUGUGAAAUCCCCAAGCUUAACUUGGGAACUGCAUUCGAGACUGCAUAGCUAGAGUAUGGGAGAGAGAAGUGGAAUUUCCGGUGUAGCGGUGAAAUGCGUAGAUAUCGGAAGGAACAUCAGUGGCGAAAGCGACUUCUUGGACCAAUACUGACGCUCAAGUGCGAAAGCGUGGGGAGCAAACAGG
rnacentral:rRNA from 1 species